rnacentral:rRNA from 1 species
AGGCGACGACGGGUAGCCGGCCUGAGAGGGCGACCGGCCACACUGGGACUGAGACACGGCCCAGACUCCUACGGGAGGCAGCAGUGGGGAAUAUUGGGCAAUGGAGGAAACUCUGACCCAGCGACGCCGCGUGAGGGAUGAAGGCCUUCGGGUUGUAAACCUCUUUCAGUAGGGAAGAAGCGAAAGUGACGGUACCUACAGAAGAAGCACCGGCUAACUAUGUGCCAGCAGCCGCGGUAAUACAUAGGGUGCAAGCGUUGUCCGGAAUUAUUGGGCGUAAAGAGCUCGUAGGUGGUUCGAUACGUCGGAUGUGAAAAUCAGGGGCUCAACCCCUGACCUGCAUCCGAUACGGUCGAGCUAGAGUUUGGUAGGGGA